UACGUAGGGGGCAAGCGUUGUCCGGAAUCAUUGGGCGUAAAGCGCGUGUAGGCGGCUCGGUAAGUCCGCUCUGAAAGUCCAGGGCUCAACCUGGGAUGCGGGUGGAUACUGCCGGGCUCGAGUCCGGAAGAGGCGAGUGGAAUCCCGGUGUAGCGGUGAAAUGCGCAGAUAUCGGGAGGAACACCAAUGGCGAAGGCAGCUCGCUGGGACGUGACUGACGCUGAGACGCGAAAGCGUGGGGAGCAAACAGG
rnacentral:rRNA from 1 species